UUCUGGCGGGUGCCCGGUGGACCUAUUCCGCUGCACUGCGUCGCCACCGGUGUGGGAGGGCAGUUACGCCGGUGUUGGUAUAAAAUGGCAGAGCUUCCGAGAGCAGUAGGAUGGCGGUUCCAAUAGCUGGGACGUGCGAGAGAGCAGAGGUCGAGCGUCAAGGUGCACUUCUACUCCGGCCGCCUCCAGCCGUGCAGAGGUCCCACACCACUGCAUCCUUCGGGCGCUUCUCUGUGCUGGGUGAUGGGAAGAUGAAGAUGAAGAUGCGGAUCAUGGGUAGGCAGGUAAAACUGGGACUGGGUUGAGCACUUGAGGCUUGCUGCAACUGUAAGAGGCCAACAUCUCCUACUAACAUGCUUCUGUGGCUUGCGGUGGCUCGACACCUUCUACGGCAGACACAUGUUCAAAUCCCCAUCAACUCAUAUAUGGAUGACAAAGCACAAUGUUGUCGUUAGCAUGAGUUUUAUGGCUCUUGCCGGGGAUCCAUGUGGCCAGUCACAUGGCUUGAUCGAGCGACCUCCCAUAGAACUUGCACUGCCUCCGCCUAGAUUCCUUGGUGAUAUAUCAUAUAUCUACUUCCGAUCCCCUUUUCUUCACAAAUCCAUGACUCCGAUGUAUUUCCAUGGGUUGCUACAAAAUGCAUGUAUCUUGGUAUGAUGUAGAUGAAACAUGUCAAAUAUUCUUACACUAUCUGCUUAAUUUCCUCUCAAGCCAAUCGACUUUGAUUGGAUGAUCA